rnacentral:lncRNA from 1 species
GUAAGAAUUAAAGAAGUGCUCCUGUUUCGUAGUGAGGAAAAGAACUGGAGUAUCUAUCUGCUUGACCCACUCUCAUCUGCAACCGGUGAGCCAAGAGACCAAGCAGCUGAACAGGAAAGAAACUGGCUUCCUCCUGCGAAGCCUUGCAUAAGCAAAUACACCUCAUGAGCGAUGAACUUGAACAACAGGCCCAAACUGGGAGUCAAGCAGCAGUGGACAUGCCGGGAUUCUUAAGUGCCCACUAAGACGGCUGCAGGUGAAAAUGGGAUGAGUAGGAAAAAGAUCCUUUGUCUUUUUUGUCCCCAAAUCUCAUCUACCUCGCACUGAGACUGUGCGAACAGUUGUGGGCCUAGAG